rnacentral:miRNA from 1 species
ACUCAUCAACCGGAAGGAAUUCCUUCCGUUUGAUGAGGUUUAGCUUCCUCAUUGACCGAGGAGAGAGAGUCCUCUCGGUCGAAUGAGGAAGCUAUACCUCAUCAACCGGAAGGAAUCCCUUCCGGUCAAUGAGG